CUAUCAGUUUUCUAUUUCUCAUCCUAAACACAAUGGAGUUUUUUCUCUAUGAACUACUUCCCUGGAGAGCUCGUCUCUCCAGUGGACAUAAACACAAACAAUAUUUUGUAUUAUGAAAAACUAUUAUACUAUAAAAUUUAAUAUUCAAAACUUUCAACAACGGAUCUCUUGGUUCUCGCAUCGAUGAAGAACGCAGCGAAUUGCGAUAUGUAUUGUGAAUUGCAGAUUUUCGUGAAUCAUCAAAUCUUUGAACGCACAUUGCGCCCUCUGGUAUUCCAGGGGGCAUGCCUGUUUGAGCGUCAUUUCUCUCUCAAACCUUUGGGUUUGGUAGUGAGUGAUACUCGUCUCGGGUUAACUUGAAAGUGGCUAGCCGUUGCCAUCUGCGUGAGCAGGGCUGCGUGUCAAGUCUAUGGACUCGACUCUUGCACAUCUACGUCUUAGGUUUGCGCCAAUUCGUGGUAAGCUUGGGUCAUAGAGACUCAUAGGUGUUAUAAAGACUCGCUGGUGUUUGUCUCCUUGAGGCAUACGGCUUUAACCAAAACUCUCAAAGUUUGACCUCAAAUCAGGUAGGAGUACCCGCUGAACUUAAGCAUAUCAAUA
rnacentral:rRNA from 1 species